rnacentral:rRNA from 1 species
CGAAAGAAAGAUUAAUACCGGAUGGCAUAGUUUUCCCGCAUGGGAUAAUUAUUAAAGAAUUUCGGUUGUCGAUGGGGAUGCGUUCCAUUAGGCAGUUGGCGGGGUAACGGCCCACCAAACCAACGAUGGAUAGGGGGUUCUGAGAGGAAGGUCCCCCACAUUGGAACUGAGACACGGUCCAAACUCCUACGGGAGGCAGCAGUGAGGAAUAUUGGUCAAUGGACGAGAGUCUGAACCAGCCAAGUAGCGUGAAGGAUGAAGGUCCUACGGAUUGUAAACUUCUUUUAUAAGGGAAUAAAACCUCCCACGUGUGGGAGCUUGUAUGUACCUUAUGAAUAAGCAUCGGCUAACUCCGUG